AAGGAUCAUUAUAAGGAUCUUUUGGCAACCGGUGGUCUUCGUGACCGCUGGUCCUUGCCCGGCACUCGCCGGUGCAAAGCCUCUCACCCCCUGUUUACGUGUACCUUUUGUAGUUUCCUCGGCAGGUCGCCCUGCCGCUAGGGACCACUUAAACCCUUUUGCAUUAGCAUCAAAUCUUCUGAUAAAAACAUAAUCGUUACAACUUUCAACAAUGGAUCUCUUGGUUCUGGCAUCGAUGAAGAACGCAGCGAAAUGCGAUAAGUAGUGUGAAUUGCAGAAUUCAGUGAAUCAUCGAAUCUUUGAACGCACAUUGCGCCCCUUGGUAUUCCAUGGGGCAUGCCUGUUCGAGCGUCAUUUACACCCUCAAGCUCUGCUUGGUGUUGGGCGUCUGUCCCGCAGUUUUGCGCGGACUCGCCUCAAAGGUAUUGGCAGCGGUCGUGCCAGCUUCUCGCGCAGCACAUUGCGCUUCUUGAAGCCCUGGUGGAUCAGCGUCCAUUAAGCUCACCUUCAUGACUUGACCUCGGAUCAGGUAGGGAUACCCGCUGAACUUAAGCAUAUCAAUAAGCGGAGGAAAAGAAACCAACUGGGAUUGCCCUAGUAACGGCGAGUGAAGCGGCAACAGCUCAAAUUUGAAAUCUGGCUCCCUUCAGGGGUCCGAGUUGUAAUUUGCAGAGGGUGCUUUGGCGUUGGUGGCGGUCUAAGUUCCUUGGAACAGGACAUCGCAGAGGGUGAGAAUCCCGUAUGUGGUCGCCUGCCUUCGCCGUGUAAAGCCCCUUCGACGAGUCGAGUUGUUUGGGAAUGCAGCUCUAAAUGGGAGGUAAAUUUCUUCUAAAGCUAAAUACCGGCCAGAGACCGAUAGCGCACAAGUAGAGUGAUCGAAAGAUGAAAAGCACUUUGGAAAGAGAGUCAAACAGCACGUGAAAUUGUUGAAAGGGAAGCGCUUGCAGCCAGACUUGCCCGUAGUUGUUCAUCUGGGUUCUUACCCGGAGCACUCUUCUGCGGGCAGGCCAGCAUCAGUUUGGGCGGCUGGAUAAAGGCCUCUGUCAUGUAUCUCCCUUCGGGGUGACCUUAUAGGGGAGGCGUAAUGCAGCCAGCCCGGACUGAGGUCCGCGCUUUUGCUAGGAUGCUGGCGUAAUGGCUGUAAGCGGCC
rnacentral:rRNA from 1 species